rnacentral:rRNA from 1 species
CAACGAGCGCAACCCCUACUUGUUAGUUGCCAUCAUUCAGUUGGGCACUCUAGCGAGACUGCCGGUAAUAAACCGGAGGAAGGUGGGAUGACGUCAAAUCAUCAUGCCCCUUAUGACCUGGGCUACACACGUGCUACAAUGGUUGGUACAGCGAGUUGCGAGUCGGUGACGGCGAGCUAAUCUCUUAAAGCCAAUCUCAGUUCGGAUUGUAGGCUGCAACUCGCCUACAUGAAGUCGGAAUCGCUAGUAAUCGCGGAUCAGCACGCCGCGGUGAAUACGUUCCCGGGCCUU